rnacentral:rRNA from 1 species
AUUGAACGCUGGCGGCAGGCCUAACACAUGCAAGUCGAACGAGUGGCGGACGGGUGAGUAAUGUCUGGGAAACUGCCCGAUGGAGGGGGAUAACUACUGGAAACGGUAGCUAAUACCGCAUACCAUCGGAUGUGCCCAGAUGGGAUUAGCUAGUAGGUGGGGUAACGGCUCACCUAGGCGACGAUCCCUAGCUGGUCUGAGAGGAUGACCAGCAACACUUGAACUGAGACGCGGUCCAGACUCCUACGUGAGGCAGGAGUGGGGAAUAUUGCACAAUGUGCGCAGGCCUGAUGCAGCCAUGCCGCGUGUAUGAAGAAGGCCUUCGUGUUGUAAAGUACUUUCAGCGAGGAGGCGUUACUCGCAGAAGAAGCACCGGCUAACUCCGUGCCAGCAGCCGCGGUAAUUC